rnacentral:rRNA from 1 species
AGGCGACGAUCCCUAGCUGGUCUGAGAGGAUGACCAGCCACACUGGAACUGAGACACGGUCCAGACUCCUACGGGAGGCAGCAGUGGGGAAUAUUGCACAAUGGGCGCAAGCCUGAUGCAGCCAUGCCGCGUGUAUGAAGAAGGCCUUCGGGUUGUAAAGUACUUUCAGCGGGGAGGAAGGGAGUAAAGUUAAUACCUUUGCUCAUUGACGUUACCCGCAGAAGAAGCACCGGCUAACUCCGUGCCAGCAGCCGCGGUAAUACGGAGGGUGCAAGCGUUAAUCGGAAUUACUGGGCGUAAAGCGCACGCAGGCGGUUUGUUAAGUCAGAUGUGAAAUCCCCGGGCUCAACCUGGGAACUGCAUCUGAUACUGGCAAGCUUGAGUCUCGUAGAGGGGGGUAGAAUUCCAGGUGUAGCGGUGAAAUGCGUAGAGAU